rnacentral:rRNA from 1 species
CGGAGGCGACCGCUAUUGGAGUUCGAUUAANCCAUGCGAGUCGAGAGGGUUCGGCCCUCGGCAUACUGCUCAGUAACACGUGGAUAACCUGCCCUGUGCUCCGGGAUAACCUCGGGAAACUGAGAAUAAUACCGGAUAGUCCACCACGCCUGGAACGGUGGGUGGAUCAAAGGUCACGGCACAGGAUGGGUCUGCGGCGUAUCAGGUCGUAGGGGGUGUAAUGGACCCCCUAGCCAUUGACGCGUACGGGUUGUGGGAGCAAUCGCCCGGAGAUGGAUUCUGAGACACGAAUCCAGACCCUACGGGGUGCAGCAGGCGCGAAAACUUCACACUGCAGGAAACUGUGAUGAGGGAACUCCAAGUGCAUGCACAAUGUGUAUGCUUUUCCUUACUCUUAAUCGGUUUGGGAAUAAGGGCUGGGAAAGACCGGUGCCAGCCGCCGCGGUAAUACCGGCAGCUCAAGUGGUCGUC